CAGACUUUGCAAAAUGCCUUAAAAUGUUGACGUGUAUACCAACCUUUAUUAGCAUCAAAUCAUCCACAGAAUUGCAAACUGCAUAGGAGUCACUUAUAAUUAAAAUAAAUACACAAAUGUACAGUGGAAGAAUGAGGAAAAUGCACUACAAGCUGCAUAAUUUGCAAGUAGGUAGCAAAGGGGAAGAGUACAAAUGUUUAAAGAAGCAACAAUGCAAUCAAAUACGAAGAUUUCUCAAGAAGCAUUACUUUCCUGAAUACAUAAUAUAGUUAAACUUAAUAUACCUUUUCCUUUAUAUUGGCUGCUUUCCAGUAUUAUCUCUGCUUCUGAUGCUAUAUCUGCAGUUUUAUAUACUAGAGUGUAUUGAUUCUUAGAAAAGUUGGUGUAUGUUGCCCAGAGAGUACAUUAUCUGGUACUCCUAGAACAAAGACCAUGGGUAAGACCCAGAAAAAGAUGGUGCAAAACACUGAAGGAGGACAAAUUUUGGAGUGAGCUUGGAAGACACACUCAACAGGAAUGCUUGGAGACAAAGAACAGAAGCUGCCCACCCUGACUGACAGAGAAUUAAAGCAUCUGUUUGGAGGGGAAAACUGGAGAAUUACACACAUUGGCUAAUGUAAAUAAGGAAAAGGUAGGUCAAAUUUAGAAUAUAAUAACCUUGAUUGUGAACCUUUAAGUGAUGGCUAAGUUCUACAUCCUACCCAAGAUACAGUUGCUCAAAAGUAUUUGAUGGUAUUGCCACUAUGUUUAUAAGAAUGUUUGACUCAUUAAUCAUGAGCACUAUCAUGCCUAGCUCAUUAAUCAUCAGCACUAUCCUGCUCUACCAGGGGCCAAUUCUUCCCUGCAACAGGUGUGAGUAACUAACAUACACUGGAAGGGGGAGAGAGAAUGAGUCCAUCCUUAUCUAAGCCUUCAACUGCAUAUCAAACAACAGAUCCUCUUUUUGUGGGCUGCUUCUCUUUCCUUUUACAAUGGGGUGCGGUGUCAGAUCAGAGAGCGUGUUUAUAUUACUUUGGAGUGGAAAAGAAUAAAGGCAGUUUCUGUGAGUGGACUUGAAAAGGGCUGCAUUGAUUUUUUUUGUUUUUUUUUUUGUUUUCCCCCUUCCAUCAGAGCUGCUGGAAACCUCCUUCCCUCCCCAAUGCUCACCUCUUCCUGCCUUUGUCAGGAAAGUGUUACAUCUGACACCUUUCCAGUAAGGUACAGAAAUGCAAAUUUAGAAAUCCAGCAACACAUAAUCAGAGGAUGUAAACUUUCUGUGAACCUAAUUUGUGGAUUUAAAAAAAUCCCCUAUUUUAGCACAUUUCUAAAAUGCUUUUGACACUUUUUGGGACUAAUUGUAUUGCUUGGGCCUAGCUGAUUUUUCUUAGAACUAAAACACUGUUGAGAAUUAUGAACAGACAAGUAGAUUUCCCUCCCUCCAGGAAGGGCGGAGUACACACACUUGGUUUCUGUUAAUAUUAUUUAUACCCAGGCGUUCUGGUUUUAUUAAAAGAGCAGACGCCCUUAGUUAACAUACCUAAAACUAAAACCUCCUCCCGCUGUUUGUGUAUUUCAUUGUGGACACAGCUUCUCCACUAACACAAUCUAAGAAGCACACUGGGGACUUGCAUGGCUAUGGAGCUAGUAUGUCACUCCCUCAGUGCCGCUAAAAACAAAUAUGCAGCAACAAUCACUAGAGUAUUCAGGUUUCAGAGUAGCAGCCGUGUUAGUCUGUAUCUGCAAAAAGAAAAAAGGAGUACUUGUGGUACCUUAGAGACUAACAAAUUUAUUUGAGCAUAAGCUUUCAUGAGCUCCAAGGUGCCACAAGUACUCCUUUUUUCUUUUUUAGAGUAUUCAGUUAUAUUAUUCGACAGUUACAAAAAGCCAUCAAUCCACUGCUGUAACAUUCCGGAGUGGGCUAAAUAUGCACCAGGCAGUGCUUUCUCUCUUCAGCUGCAGCAAAAUGCAGAAGGGGCAUCAGAAGAGCCCUAACCAAGAGUCUCUUUCAUCUCAUGGAAAUGAAACCAAGCUGAGCUGCUGCUGCUGCACUUCCCACAGACUCGGAACACUUCCCCUGCUGCCGGGGAAUCUCCGCACAAGCUGUACACUUGGAGGAGCUUGAGGACAACCACUGCCAGAGCGGCUUGUUGGAUGUGUGUGAUCGAUGGUGAAAAUGCUCUGAGACGGAUUAACGCACAGGACUUCACCAAGUGUCUCGUGAUGACUUAAAUCUCUAAAC